GGUGGCUGGAGUGCAGUAGGUGUGCUGCUGGAGUGUGGAGCUUCCCAUUUAGUUUUGUCACCCAGUCUGUGAGCCUAAAGGCUGUUUGAAGUGCAAACCAAAGCAUGAGCCCAGGAGAGAAAUCUCAGCAUCAUGCCAAUGCAAGAGUUUUGUUAUCCCUUCUCUUGGGAAAAAGGGAAUUUGUUGGAAGGCAUACAGCUAUUCUCCCCCAUGGUUUGAAGGCUUGACUUGACCUGUUCUGCUGCACUUUUUCCUGUCCUUUACUGGGGUAAUGCUGAAUGAGACCUUGCAGCAGUAGAUCUCAUUGAGAUG